UACGAAGGGUGCAAGCGUUAAUCGGAAUUACUGGGCGUAAAGCGUGCGCAGGCGGUUUGGAAAGAAAGAUGUGAAAUCCCAGAGCUUAACUUUGGAACUGCAUUUUUAACUGCCGGGCUAGAGUAUGUCAGAGGGGGGUAGAAUUCCACGUGUAGCAGUGAAAUGCGUAGAGAUGUGGAGGAAUACCGAUGGCGAAGGCAGCCCCCUGGGAUAAUACUGACGCUCAUGCACGAAAGCGUGGGGAGCAAACAGG
rnacentral:rRNA from 1 species